rnacentral:lncRNA from 1 species
AAUGAAAUUGUAGAAUGUUGUUCUAGAAGCAUAAUGUGCAUCUUUGGAAGUAACAGAUCACAAAUCUAAAAUGCGGAUCUUCCAGAUCAAAUCUUAGGGGUGUGUUUUAUGUAAAUUAUGUAUUUUUAUCGGUCAAAACUCUAAGAUGUGGUUUGAUAAUUGGUCAUAGGCGACAAUGGUUCGUGAUGUCUCGAUAUACAUGCUAGGAAGUCGUAAAGCGGACCUUAGGUCAGUGGGUUUUUUCUUUUCCAUCGUAUAUAUAUAUAUAUAAUUGAUAAUUCCAUAAACGUUUAUAAAUUGAUUAUGGCCUACAAUUACUGUGAAUGCUUUGAAGUAAUUAUUGUGAACUAAGAAUUGCUUGAUCCCUAUAUAGGGUACAUAGGCAGUCUGACAAGACGUUAGAUGCAGUCAUACAAUAAAUGAGACUAAAUAAUUGAGACAAUAGCCUUGUUUUGGGAAUUGAGUAAUGUGAGAGACUUUGGUCGAAAAUAUAAGAUUUAACCUUAUGAUUUGGUGGUUAAAUUUUGGUCAUAAAUCAAUGUAUGAAGAAUUAGGAAUUUGAAGUAAGGAAACGUAAGUAAUGAAAGUUAAUUAAACUAGUAUCUAGUUGGGCUUAUCAUCAAUAAUUAUUUCCGAAAAUAAGUAGUUUGGGAGUAGGGCUUUACGGAUUAUGCAUUUUAUGCCAUAUUAUAUAUAUAUUUAGUAAUACUGUGUUAUGGUCGAAUUUUGAUUGCAUCAUGGCAUAUUCAUAUGUAUAUUACCUGCACAUAAUCAUUGUAAAUGCUUGGAAGCGCGAAAGUGAACUCAGGACACCCAAGUAAAUUCAGGUGAGUUUAUGGUAUUAGUUGACAUGAUGGGGUUAUGGCAUGACUAUAUUAUGUCUUAAGCAAACCCGACACUGUCGUACGGGUUGCUCAUGAAUCGUACAUGUUAUGUUUAGAUGCAUUGAGAUCUCAUAAACCUGCACCCCAGUGUUAGUGCUCCCGCCCGUGGCUAGGGCACAAUCCUUCACGUGAUGUUCACCUCCCGCACCUUACGCUCACCUUGGAUCCAAGGUAGGUGCACAAUCCUGUCGUACAGACCACUAUAGGUGGUUUCAACUCGUAGGUGACCCGUGAUUAUUCGCACAGUCUUUAUGUGAUCAUAGCACUUGAGCGUAUUUAUUUACACCCAGUCCUGUCGUAUAAACCACUUUAGGUGGUUCCAACUCAUGUGCAGGUAUACUUAUUGAGUUAUGGAUAAGUCAUACAGAUCACUAGAGGUGACUUCGACUUAUGAGCUAGCAUAUGUGAUGAAUAUGUGAUAAGCUAGCAUAUGUGAUGAAUAUGUGAUGAGCUAGCAUAUAUGAUGAAAUAUGUGAUAAGCUAGCAUAUGUGAUGAAUAUGUGAUGAGUAGCAUAUAUGUUGAAUAUGUGAUGAGCUAGCAUAUGUGAUGAAUAUGUGAUAAGCUAGCAUAUGUGAUGAUGUGAUGCAUAUGUGAUGAGAUAUGCGAUAAUCUAGCAUAUGUGAUGAAAUAUGUGAUGAACUAGUAUAUGUGAUGAGAUAUGGCUAAGUCAUACAGGUCACCAUAGGUGACUCCGACUUACGUACUAGUAUGAGUUAUUAAUCACAUGAUUAUUUGAUAUUGCUGACGAGAUGUUGUGUUGUGGUAUAUUUAUGAUUUUUCUGAAAAUUAUACAGGUGUUGUAGCGAGAGGUUAUAAUGUUUUAUAUGGUUUCUAUUAAAAUUUUAUUUAUAAGGUCACUCACCCUUGUCUUGUCUUCACCCUCCACGUUUUAUUAG